rnacentral:rRNA from 1 species
GAUGAACGCUGGCGGCGUGCCUAAUACAUGCAAGUCGAGCGAACAGACGAGGAGCUUGCUCCUCUGACGUUAGCGGCGGACGGGUGAGUAACACGUGGAUAACCUACCUAUAAGACUGGGAUAACUUCGGGAAACCGGUGCUAAUACCGGAUAAUAUCUUGAACCGCAUGGUUCAAUAGUGAAAGACGGUUUUGCUGUCAUUUAUAGAUGGAUCCGCGCAGCAUUAGCUAGUUGGUAAGGUAACGGCCUACCAAGGCAACGAUGCGUGGCCGACCUGAGAGGGUGAUCGGCCACACGGGAACUGAGACACGGUCCAGACUCCUACGGGAGGCAGCGGUAGGGAAUCUUGGGCAAUGGGCGAAAGCCUGACGGAGCAACGCCGCGUGGGGGAUGAAGGUCUUCGGAUCGUAAAACUCUGUUAUUGGGGAAGAACAAAGGGGUAAGUAACUAUGCACGUCUUGACGGUACCUAAUCAGAAAGCCACGGCUAACUACGUG